rnacentral:rRNA from 1 species
GAACCUUACCUGGGCUCGAAAUGUUAUGGACCGGGGUAGAAAUAUCCCUUCCCCGCAAGGGGCCGUAAUAUAGGUGCUGCAUGGCUGUCGUCAGCUCGUGUCGUGAGAUGUUGGGUUAAGUCCCGCAACGAGCGCAACCCUUAUCUUCAGUUGCUACCAUUUAGUUGAGCACUCUGACGAAACCGCCUCGGAUAACGGGGAGGAAGGUGGGGAUGACGUCAAGUCCUCAUGGCCUUUAUGUCCAGGGCUACACACGUGCUACAAUGGCCGGUACAAACCGUCGCAAACCCGUGAGGGGGAGCUAAUCGGAAAAAACCGUCCUCAGUUCGGAUCGUAGUCUGCAACUCGACUACGUGAAGCUGGAAUCGCUAGUAAUCGCGGAUCAGAAUGCCGCGGUGAAUACGUUCCCGGGCCUUGUCACACCGA